rnacentral:rRNA from 1 species
UACGUAGGGUGCGAGCGUUAAUCGGAUUUACUGGGCGUAAAGCGUGCGCAGGCGGCCCGUUAAGACAGGUGUGAAAUCCCUGGGCUCAACCUAGGAAUUGCGCUUGUGACUGGCGGGCUCGAGUACGGUAGAGGGGGGUGGAAUUCCUGGUGUAGCAGUGAAAUGCGUAGAGAUCAGGAGGAACACCGAUGGCGAAGGCAGCCCCCUGGGCCUGUACUGACGCUCAUGCCCGAAAGCGUGGGGAGCAAACAGG